GAUGAACGCUAGCUACAGGCUUAACACAUGCAAGUCGAGGGGCAGCAUUUUAGUUUUGCUUGCAAACUGAAGAUGGCGACCGGCGCACGGGUGAGUAACACGUAUCCAACCUGCCGAUAACUCCGGGAUAGCCUUUCGAAAGAAAGAUUAAUACCGGAUAGUAUACGAAUAUCGCAUGAUAUUUUUAUUAAAGAAUUUCGGUUAUCGAUGGGGAUGCGCUCCAUUAGUUUGUUGGCGGGGUAACGGCCCACCAAGACUACGAUGGAUAGGGGUUCUGAGAGGAAGGUCCCCCACAUUGGAACUGAGACACGGUCCAAACUCCUACGGGAGGCAGCAGUGAGGAAUAUUGGUCAAUGGGCGCGAGCCUGAACCAGCCAAGUAGCGUGAAGGAUGAAGGCUCUAUGGGUCGUAAACUUCUUUUAUAUGGGAAUAAAGUUUUCCACGUGUGGAAUUUUGUAUGUACCAUAUGAAUAAGGAUCGGCUAACUCCGUGCCAGCAGCCGCGGUAAUACGGAGGAUCCGAGCGUUAUCCGGAUUUAUUGGGUUUAAAGGGAGCGUAGGUGGAUUGUUAAGUCAGUUGUGAAAGUUUGCGGCUCAACCGUAAAAUUGCAGUUGAAACUGGCAGUCUUGAGUACAGUAGAGGUGGGCGGAAUUCGUGGUGUAGCGGUGAAAUGCUUAGAUAUCACGAAGAACUCCGAUUGCGAAGGCAGCUCACUAGACUGUCACUGACACUGAUGCUCGAAAGUGUGGGUAUCAAACAGGAUUAGAUACCCUGGUAGUCCACACAGUAAACGAUGAAUACUCGCUGUUUGCGAUAUACAGUAAGCGGCCAAGCGAAAGCAUUAAGUAUUCCACCUGGGGAGUACGCCGGCAACGGUGAAACUCAAAGGAAUUGACGGGGGCCCGCACAAGCGGAGGAACAUGUGGUUUAAUUCGAUGAUACGCGAGGAACCUUACCCGGGCUUAAAUUGCAACAGAAUAUAUUGGAAACAGUAUAGCCGUAAGGCUGUUGUGAAGGUGCUGCAUGGUUGUCGUCAGCUCGUGCCGUGAGGUGUCGGCUUAAGUGCCAUAACGAGCGCAACCCUUAUCUUUAGUUACUAACAGGUUAUGCUGAGGACUCUAGAGAGACUGCCGUCGUAAGAUGUGAGGAAGGUGGGGAUGACGUCAAAUCAGCACGGCCCUUACGUCCGGGGCUACACACGUGUUACAAUGGGGGGUACAGAAGGCGGCUACCUGGUGACAGGAUGCUAAUCCCAAAAACCUCUCUCAGUUCGGAUCGAAGUCUGCAACCCGACUUCGUGAAGCUGGAUUCGCUAGUAAUCGCGCAUCAGCCAUGGCGCGGUGAAUACGUUCCCGGGCCU
rnacentral:rRNA from 1 species